rnacentral:rRNA from 1 species
CAGUAGCCGCGGGAAUACGAAGGGGGCUAGCGUUGUUCGGAAUUACUGGGCGUAAAGCGCACGCAGGCGGCUCGAUAAAUUAGAAGUGAAAGCCUUGGGCUUAACCUGAGAAUUGCUUUUAAGACUGCCGAGCUAGAAUCCAGAAGAGGGUAGUGGAAUUCCGAGUGUAGAGGUGAAAUUCGUAGAUAUUCGGAAGAACACCAGUGGCGAAGGCGACUACCUGGUCUGGCAUUGACGCUCAUGUGCGAAAGCGUGGGGAGCAAACAGGAUUAGAUACCCCCGUAGUCCCUGUCUCUUAUAC